GGGGGAACUUGUUUUUUUGUUGCGUGCUUGUUUAGGGACACAAUUAGGUGACGCACUCCCUGCUGCAGCAGGAGACAGGAGCUUCUCUUGAGAAGACAUCGAGCGGCUGUGUUUUGUCGGGUGACUUACGGCUGGCAGAGUUUGACCAGAUCCUGGUCUGCGGUUCCGGGGUGAAGGCCACGGAUGUACAGGUUGGUUUUGCUCAGCUGCUCCCCGCCAUGAUGGCCACCGUUGGGGCUCGGAGGCGGAGCCAUCUGAUGGAUGGAGGGAGACGUGUACGUCUGCUGCAAAAGAAAUUGAGCCAUUUAGCCGCUGCCCUUGAUGGCACCUCCCUCGCUCAUGCACUACUUUGCUUCCAGAGGUCAAGGUUAGCUUAGCAUCUGCUGCCGACACAUCGUGAGCAAGUCUGUGACCUGAAAUCUGGUGGCAAAUGUUGACCUUCAACAAAAGUUAGAUAUAGUCUGAGGCUCAAAGCACAAUGUGGGAAAAAAAAAAAAGCCCUGGCGUCCGGUUUUGAAGUUCUCUUGAGAAACAAAGCAGCAGCAAGGGGGAAGUUAAUAGAAAGCAGAAGAAAGGUGGCGGGGGGGGGGGGGGGGUCCUUUAAUCCUCUAGCUCUCUCCUCAGCGUCAAAGACACAAACCAGGUGUUGGAUUUAGACAAUGUUACAUGUGUCCAAAUCAAGUGGAAGAUGCUCUCCUCAAGUCAGAACAUUGUCCAAAUCCAGAAUUCCACAAAUUCCAGCUCAAUGUGGAUUCCAGCCAUAAUGAUUUCAGCAUUGUUCAAGCCUUCCAAGCCACCGGGGUGAAUAUUUGCAUAAAUUCAGUCACAGCUCGGGCUUGAAGCAAAGACGUGACGUGCUUGUUCCAUUGCAUACGCAAUUGUUGAGUUUGCUCCAAAAAUCCAUGCAGCUGUCUGGAGAUCCAUAAAGCGCAUAAAGCAAAGGGAUCCCGUGCUAUACGAACAUCUGCUGAUGUAGAUUAAAAAUACAUAACAGUGUCAAUCAUGGCUAAGUUGCUCUUAGUCCGCCUGCGAUCGAUCUGGCCCACGUAAGGUGACUUGCGUUGGUGGAGAACUUUUUUUUUUCUUCUGCAGGCUGCCCCUCUCGGUUGAAAGAAGGAAGGAAGGGGUGGGGCAUGUCGCUCGUCGUCAAAGCGCAACUUUGCCAACUUGGCACGAGAAAUUGAAUGAAAACAAGCAUGGUUGGAAUAGAAAAGGCAUGAGAAGAACUGUGAGGUGGCCCGGAUGAGCACACGGUUGCUAUUGUUGUGCACAAAAGCCAAGACGGAGAAGGGUGAGCACAAACGAAAAGAGCCAUAGGAGCAACCCUCACGACAUCCAUCUCCCACGGUAGUUGCGCAAUUUACCGCGGCGCGCAAAAUGUAUCACGCGUAGCCGGGCGUGUGCGUGAAAGUCGGCUCGCCCGCGUCUGCGCUUGACUUCGCUCAAGGACACUGCGGCUGGGAACGCAAUGUCGAACCGGGGGCGCGGCAAAGUUUACCUUCUUGAUGCCUUUGCUCCCGUAGCCGUUGUACGCGUUCACCCCUACGGAGAGCAGCAUUUUGACGCGGCGGCGGCGGCGGUGGAGCAGCUGACGUCAGCCGCCGGGGAAGCCAGGAGCGCCGCUGCAGAUGCUUGGAGUCGCCUCGCCUCGUUCUUUUGCCGGCAAUCGGACGCACGACGCAGGUUGGGAUCGCUCUCACAAUGCUGCGUGCGCAGGACAUCCCCCAGCCCUCCCCGUCCCAGCCCAGCCCAGCCCAGCCCAGUCUCCACAAAACACCCAAUACAUACUCUGGAUGUGGGUCAUUUCAUAGUUGGACUUUUUCCUGUGUUCCCCAAAGCAAAUUUCCAAAAAGCAAUUUACAAGACAGAAAAAAACAUGGGGUAGAAAUUCUUCUUUUGCAAUUGAAGAAGAAGGAAAAGUCAUCCUUAAAUAUGAUUUAGAAUACCAAACAUUUUUUUUUCUUAUCCCGCGUGCUUACAUCAAAUCUUGUCCACCCAUGUCCAUAUUGUGAUCAAAGUUGGUUUUGGUGCCGGUCCUGUCAAUCUGGUUAGCUGACCAAGUUCAUUUUGAAGCCCUCCAGUGAGUAAACGUGCAACUGCUGAUUAGGCCAUCCCGCGUGUCAAUGGAGCGAUCAUUUGCACGAUGAUGCAGCAAUGCUUCAAAGACGAAACUUCCAUGCUUUUGCAUAAAAAUGAUGUGAUUCUGCAGGGCACGAGAAUAGGCGCCAUUUCCACAGCAGCGAUUAUUGAAA